GACGAACGCUGGCGGCGUGCUUAACACAUGCAAGUCGAGGGCACUUUGGGGGCAACCCUGGAGUGACCGGCGAACGGGUGCGUAACACGUGAGCGACCUUGCCUCGUGGUGGGGGAUAGCCGGCCCAACGGCCGGGUAAUACCGCAUAUGGUGGUUUCUUCGCAUGGAGAGACUAGCAAAGCCUUGCAGCAAUGCAAUGGCGCCACAGGGGGGCGUCNCGGCC
rnacentral:rRNA from 1 species